rnacentral:sRNA from 1 species
CCCGACCUCCCACCCUAUGUCUACUUGACCAUCGUUGCUUCGGCGAGCCCGUCCUCACGGACCGCCGGAGGGACCUUCACCGGCCCUCUGGUCCGCGCUCGUCGGUAGCCCAACCAUUAAAAUCUUUAACCAAACGUGCCUUAAUCUAAGUACAAUUAUUAAAUAAAAGCAAAACUUUCAACAACGGAUCUCUUGGUUCUGGCAUCGAUGAAGAACGCAGCGAAAUGCGAUAAGUAAUGCGAAUUGCAGAAUUCCAGUGAGUCAUCGAAUCUUUGAACGCACAUUGCGCCCUUUGGUAUUCCGAAGGGCAUGCCUGUUCGAGCGUCAUUAUCACCCCUCAAGCCCUCGGCUUGGUGUUGGACGGUUUGGUGGAGGCCCCCUCGGGGGCUCCUGCCCCUCCCAAAGACAAUGACGGCGGCCUCGUUGGACCCCCGGUACACUGAGUUCUUCACGGGACACGUAUCGGACACAUGGGUUUACGGGACACGGUCUGCCUCCCCUCAGGGAGAAUCUUUCUAAGGUUGACCUCGGAUCAGGUAGGGAUACCCGCUGAACUUAAGCAUAUCAAUAAGCGGAGGA